rnacentral:rRNA from 1 species
CCUACGGGAGGCUGCAGUGAGGAAUAUUGGUCAAUGGACGAGAGUCUGAACCAGCCAAGUAGCGUGAAGGAUGACUGCCCUAUGGGUUGUAAACUUCUUUUAUAUGGGAAUAAAAUGUUCCACGUGUGGGAUUUUGUAUGUACCCUAUGAAUAAGGAUCGGCUAACUCCGUGCCAGCAGCCGCGGUAAUACGGAGGAUCCGAGCGUUAUCCGGAUUUAUUGGGUUUAAAGGGAGCGUAGGUGGAUGGUUAAGUCAGUUGUGAAAGUUUGCGGCUCAACCGUAAAAUUGCAGUUGAAACUGGCAGUCUGGAGUACAGUAGAGGUGGGCGGAAUUCGUGGUGUAGCGGUGAAAUGCUUAGAUAUCACGAAGAACUCCGAUUGCGAAGGCAGCUCACUGGACUGCAACUGACACUGAGGCUCGAAAGUGUGGGUAUCAAACAGGAUUAGAGACCCUUGUAGUC